AUUCCCAAAUAAGACUUAAUCCUGCCAUUAAUACCAUAUCUCAAAAUAGAUGAAGUUCCUAUAUAAUCCCUUUCCCUUACAGGCUCACUGUGAAACUAAGGGAUGAUUCUGUCUUGUCUCACUCAUCACCCGAGAGGGUUUUCUCCUUUUUCAAAAACAUGGGAUCAAACUUGGGCAAGAGCAAGUAUGUACCGCUCUCUGUGAAUUAAUUUAGGGCACCAGCUAGGAAGAAAUAUAGGUCAAGAGCAGUGUUUAUGAACACUUGUUCUUUCCACCCUCCUUUCUUCCUCUUCUCCACCGUAAUUUCAGGAACAUCAAAUUACACCAGAACAGGUCACACUGCAAUUCCUUGAGUCUUAUGAAGGUAAAUCACAACUGAAUAUUGCAAGAGGACAAGACAGAGUUUGCUAAUUAAUGCUAGCAUGUAUUACAUGUAAUUGUGACUGUGGUUUGAGGAACACUUCGUGCUAACAGAAUGCUAGCAAGACUAACUCCAUCUAAUUCAACUGAAUUAAACAGCGCUAGUUGAAAAACACUGGUUACUGUUAGAUUUGUUCCCAUACUAAAAAAGCGUUCAGAAUAUGUGACUGCUAUGGAUUUGUAUCACAGGGCUAGGAUCCUGUGCAAAGUUAUGUGAAAAACUGUUUACAAGGAGAUAUUUCACCCACAGACAAUAUCUUUCCAAAUUCAGUUGAAAAGGAAAGACAAGACGGUCGAGGGGGAGAGGCAAUAAAGACAGCAUAUUACUUAAGUGAUAAGGGAUUAGGACGUUUGAACUCAGGGAGAUCAUGAAGUUGACUCUAUUGAUGACCCCAAAUUUGCACCUUUAGGUGUUUGGGGGUUUUUUAAUAAAAUAUCAUCUGGUCACUUGUUCGUUGCAUAUUUAGACCUUGAUGCUAAAAACAGUAGGUGGUUAAAGUGUAUUUCCAAAAGCAGCCUUCCCCUGAAGUUUUGCAAUAAUAAACACACAGCACCUGUAUCUUCCAGCAAGACACUAAUCUAGUUUGGUUUCAAACUGGUUUCACAACUGGUUACACUGCAAGCUAUUUUAAAAACUUGCCUUGAAUUUUACAAAACACUGGACCAUUUAGCAAUGGAUGUAAAUACAUUGUUUCAUCACUAUUAGAUGGAAAAAUAGAAAAGUUAAUAAUUUGGGGUUUAAAUAUAACAGCUCCCAUGACAUCCAGUGGCUAUUACAAUGCCAGGAGAGAAGCUGGAGAUCUCCCUAGGUAUCUCUAUAGCCAGCUCAGAUUUCCUUCACUAGAUUUCAUCUCAGAUACGUAAAAGCUGGUAAAAGACUAUCUGCAGGUGAAAUGAGCAAUAAAUACAAUUCUUCAGCUUCUGUUGACUUUCAGAGCUUAACUAUCAACCCUAGCUUCUGGGCACUUUCCACAUCAUGCAGAACGCAUCAUGUGUCCUUGCGUGGGCUACUCCUUUGUCCUGACUGUCCCAACACAAAAAUUGAGUUAAAAGAAGAGAAUGAACCAGCCUUUCACUUCCAAGCAAGUCUUUUUCAGUGUAUCAUGAUAAACUUCAGAGUGCUAUGAAAAAAAAAGUACUAGGAAUGUUCUCUAAGGUCACUUAAUGUGAAGAUUUUAGCAGUAAUAACCUCAAUCUGCAAAUGAUAGGAAAUGCCCUGAAAGUACAGUUCAAAGAGGAUAUGGUUUCAGCGAAGUACUUAGUGGAAUCUGUGAAAUUGCAGGCCCUAAAAUCCACAGUCACCUCACAUUUACAGAGUUUUUCAAAAUGGAGAAACCAAGCAAGUGUUAAGCAUUGCUGAACAUACCCGAGUUAUUAAUUCACAUUAGCGUAGACAGUUGUUUCUACAAAUGUACACAUUGUGCACAGAGACAGUUUUAAAGAUCUCACUGUUUCCACUUGUUCUUCUUUUCAGAGGCAUUAAUAGAUAAUCAGGGUCCAGUUCCAGCCUUUACCCCGGUAAAGCCAUGAAACUUCAUCUCAAUGAGGACUUGCCAACUUCACUUCCAUCCCUUCAUCUCACAGCUGAAAUUUUCCCAGGUCACUUUGGCAUCUAUAAACUUCCACCUCAAACAGUUGUUCUGAGGGGAUCUGGAUGAAAACUGGUAUAUGUAUUAUUCUUCAUGUUUAAAAAAAAUUAUUGAACCUUUCCUAAUUUUGGUGGUUAAUGAUAGCUAUAGUUUUUAACUACACACAGAGCAAAUUCUUUUCCGAUCUGCCUGUCUGAACUCCAUCAGGAGAUCAAGUUAGAGAUGUAAUUGGGUUCACAGAGAUGUAAAUUUGGGUUCCUUACUUACCAAAGGAGAAGCCAAAAUAUAAUAAAAUGUAUGUAUAGCACUGUUAAAGAGAGUAACUACAUUGUUUGUGGCUAUUUCAAGGCAAUCAUGUAACCUGUAUGUUACAAAAACCUGUUGUACAUUUCAGAGUGAAAAGAUGUAAACCAAUGGAGGUCAUCAAAAUAGAGUUGCUUUUGCAAAUGUCUUAGGACCCAUCUAUGCAUUUCAAGGAAAGUCAGGACUCAGAUCUCAUAUAAAAUAUGAACUAGAACUUUGUAACACAUCUAUUAUGUCAUACAUUUGGAUUACAAAGCCACCAAAUCUCUCUUGGAAGAAUGCAGGAUGAGCCUUACAUUUUCCGUUACUUUUAUUUAGCUCCAUCAUGGAGGGUCUAAUGCAACUCUCACAGGAAGAGGUUUUCCAUUCAAAAGUGAGCUGUGAAUUCAGGAAAGGAUUUUAUAGAAAUCUGAAAUUGCACACAGACUAGUCCAACCCUGACAGGCAAAGGAGAAGUUAUGGCUCCAUUUGACAUCCAUCACUUAUUUCUCAGAACAGCUACAGGAACAGCACUUCCCAAUAACUUCUGACAAUUUGCAUAGAUAAUUAACUUGCACAGAUUCAAAACCUGCAUAAAUUCUUUUUCCUAUUCUGCUGUUCUUUUUCUGUGUUUUGAGAGUGGGGGAGAGGUCUGGGUACAUUUUUUCCCCUUCAUCAUGCAGUUCUUCACCUAAACCUCCCUUUGCCCCCAUUAUAAUAAAGAGCCUGAGCCUGCUUACGAGCAGAUACAAGGAUGAACGAUGCAGCUUUUGCCACAAAGACUGUAUUUUACCAGCAGGUUACUAGGUAAAGGAUUGAGUGGUUUAGCUGAAAUUAAGAGUCUUGUAAAGGAAAUCAGUGCAGUGGUUAACCUUAAAACUGCAUUCAUGGAUGUACUCUUUUAACAACUGCAGCAAUGAAAUGAUAAACAUGACCCAAAUCCUGGCCCUUACUGGGGGAGGGGGAAAUGGAGAAAAAAAAAAAAAAAAAAGAUGUACUUCUUGUUUAUCUGAGCCCUUCACACAGAAGGAAACAGGCUUGGAUGCUUCAGCCAGGACUCUGCAUUUCCAAGCGGAGGGGCUGUAAUCCAUCUGCCUCCCGAGUUUCAGCUGAGUUUCAGAUGACGGCAGCCAAUUUAAAUGUCACUGUUUAAUAGGAUAACGCAUUCGCGGGAAUCAGCUUUGCCGCCUUCCUCCCACGACGUCUUCAUCUCUCCAGGCAAAAAUCUCGGGUUUCCCUUGCCUGAUCCUUUCAGUGUCAGCUCCAUGUUACCGGAACACACAUACAGCUGUUUUCCCUAUCACAGCUGCAUCUCCGGCAGCAGCUCUGGGGCUUGAGGACUGCAGAGGGCAGUGAAAGGGGAUGUUCAACUUCACAACAAAAAUGAAGCUAUUAAAACUGUAUUCUGGAGGACUACAAAUCCUAACAGGGAAGGGGGUAAACUUAGUUCACCAUGCGUAUCUCCAGGGCUGGGCUGCUGUUUUCCUGGGAGCGAGCACACUGAGCCAGGCAAAGCAUGGCUCUCCCCUGACUGCUCUUUAAAACUGGGUUUAAAAGUAAAACCAGGGGCUCUGGACCAAGAGAUAGCAAAACAUGGCACGGCCACCUAAAGAGGAGCUUGGCAGUGAUAUGGGUCUGUGCUUCACGCCAUCUCACCAAGUUCAGGGCCAGAAACAGCCUAGCCUUGACCUCUCAGCCUGAAAUCUCCCAAGCAGCUACCCAAAGCCUAUUUUUAGCCCUCCCUGCCUGAUGUGUGUGUGUGUGUGUUUGCACAAUGGAGAAAAGCCCAAGAGCGGGACCAGACGGCCCUGAAAAGGGAAAUCUGAUUUUAUCGUCUGCUGAGGAUGCCGGUGACAUGAUUUCCUUCGGCUGCAAGGAGGGUCUCCAAGCUGCUUAAGCAAACCGUAAAGCCACUAUACCGCAGCUUUCCUCCCGGCCAGUUUGGGCGCUCCCCUCCCUUUGUAGCAGCCGAAAGCCACGCACUUUCCCCGCACCCCACAAAGCAGGGUGGCAGCGGGGUACCCCAGCCCCGGCCUGCUUUGCUGCCGCGACGGGAGCAAUUCCCAGCCUGGCUACAGAAGAAGGGG